UACGGAGGGUGCAAGCGUUAUCCGGAUUCACUGGGUUUAAAGGGUGCGUAGGAGGGCAGGUAAGUCAGUGGUGAAAUCUCCAAGCUUAACUUGGAAACUGCCGUUGAUACUAUCUGUCUUGAAUACCGUGGAGGUGAGCGGAAUAUGUCAUGUAGCGGUGAAAUGCUUAGAUAUGACAUAGAACACCAAUUGCGAAGGCAGCUCGCUUGGACGGUACUGACGCUGAGACGCGAAAGCGUGGGGAGCAAACAGG
rnacentral:rRNA from 1 species